UACAAUUCAACCAUUUUAUCCAUGUUUAAGUCAUGUUUGUGAACCAAAUAAGUGUGUAAAAACAUACUUAUCAUAGAACUUGGUGCGGUCGCAUGGUUGAAGAUGUUGCUGUCUUUCGAGUUUCGGUAGCCACCUGUGCGACUGCAUGUCUGCGACACGGUGCGGUCGCAUGGAGUUGUGGUUUGGUCUCUUUUUCGGCUACUUGAAUCACUUUGUUUCAUAGGCUUCCGGAUUUCGACCCCAACACGAAAGUUGUCACUUAGCUUAUGGACUUCAACAUAGUAUGCUCCGUGCCUCGAUCCAUCAAUUGUGCCACCCGUAUUAGCUUGACGAAGACCCGAACUUGGUUUUGGUUUCUUCUAAUCAAACUCCAAUGCAUUGAUUCGUUUUGGCGAAACCCGUAUCACAUCAAGUGGAAUUGCAACCCCCAUUAUGGCAGGCGAUGUGAAAAGGGAUAACUUGGGUGUUGGUGCUCACAAUCUUGGUGAGGUUCUUCCCGAGGACGAUAUUGAUGAGUAGUAUAAAAAGCGAAUGAUGCUUGGUUACAAACAAAUACCAAAUUCUAUGAUUAAACCAUACUUCUCUCGAGGGACUUGGCUGAUUUGGCGUUCAAUGUUCAUUUACACUAUUUUAUUUUUUUUGGGUAAAUAAUUAUGUAUAGAUCAAAAAUUGAGUAUGACUAUUCUUGGCAUACCAGGGCUAACGAAACAAACAUUUCAAAGAUGAAAUGACCCAAAGUAAGAGAAUCAAAAUGGAUCUAACAUUACAUACUUCAGUUGAUCGGGAAUAUGACUUGUUGAAUCCUGUUUCUAACUUCCAGAAGAUAUGAGCAAGGAAUUCCCUUUCUUCUUGUUAAGACCUGAGGUUCAAUUUUAAAAGUUCAAUAUUGUUAAGGAAAGUAGCUCAAUUCUUUUUAAUUUGGUCUAUAUUUUCUUCUUUAUUCGAUGUCGAAUUUUAUCCCUUAACAUGUUUCUGCAAAAUGGUAGCUUGUUUUGUGUAGACCAAUUUUGACAUUCGUAUGUUCAUUUUUUGAGUCUUAAUUUGAUUGAAUAGCUCGUUUGAGCUUAAUGAACUUUGAUAUUAUGUUAAGAUUUAGAGUACUAUCUUAAAAGGUCAACCUUGUUAAGAAGAGUAGUCAAAUUCUUUUUAAGUUGAUCUAUGUUUUCAUCUUUAUUCGAUGUGAGACUUUACCUCUUUAACAUUUCCUAUCUUUCUUCUUUGAUUUGGUAGGCUUUUCUUCAAGUUUCCCUUUGAGUUUCUCAUUGGGGAACUGUCCAAAUUGGGGAUUUCAAUGUCUGCAACCCCCUGAUCAACUCAUGCUUGAUUAAGGUUGGUUAAGAUCAGUUUGAUCCCCCUUACCCAUUUUCGCAUUUUGCUGGACAGAAUCCAAAUCAUUAGAGUUUGAAACCAGACCCUGCUCCUUAGAUUUAUUAUUUCCCUUCUUUUUCUUGGCCCAUUCAAGGAGGGGAACAUGAUCAUGCAGUCCCAGCUGCACAAAUCCCCUUGCUCCAAGCUGUUUCACACAAUUCGGUUUGCCUGCAAUCGAGUUUCGGCAUUGUUCUGGGUAUCAUUCACCACGUCAACCUUUUUUGCAGUAAGGUGGUGGCUAUAGUUGGAUGUUGUUUUUGGUAUUGUAGCCAUCCGUCGAAUGGCUCCCAAGCAUUUUACAAACCGUGCAAAACUUUGGCAUAUUCUCAAACUCUUGCACAUGACAACCUACCUUUAGUAGAUGUAAGUACAUGUACAUCUGUAGCAAUUGGUUUUCCAACCUUAGAAGUAAUCCUUCUUGAGGCAUUGGGAUUCCAACAAUCCAAUGGUAAUCUGGGUUACGUGAUUCCUACUGGCAUCGUACUAAUUUCCUUAUCGUCAAACUCAAAACAUCGGGGCAUGGUAUGGAGCGUCAAUGGCCCAUUAAAAAUGGAGUACAGUCCCCCACUAAGAACCUGUUCUCGAGCAGCCUAAUUUUCGAAUUUCAAAACAAGCCACCCACCACUGUGUAUAAAGUACUGAUACUUGAUUUUCCAUUCAUCACACAUCUUAAGGAAAGCUGUUUAUUCAAGAAACCUGCCACCAACGUGCCCAACAAGGCAGUAGCCCCAAGAAGAUUCAAUAUCAUCUACAUCCAAGAACCCCAACACAACUUCCUCCGGCAGAUUAUCAAACAUUUGAAGCUGUAAUCCCUUACCUUGAUUUCUGUUAUCUUUAAGAAGAUUAAUCCAAGAGGUUCUAGGCGGAUCUGUUUGUUUUUCUUGGGUAGAAAUGGAGGGUUCAACAGUUGACUGUCCAUCAGUUGUGUCUGCUGACUGUCCAUCAGUUGUGUUUGUAACUUCAUGUUCAGUGUCUCCCUCAUCAAAAUCUUCGUCGUCCUCUUCAGAUUCUUCAAAUUCUGUGUCUUCCUCUCCAAGUGUAUUAUGAUUUAAACUCCUUCCAAAACACUUUUGCAGAAUUUUGGACAGUACUUAUUAAAGGAAUGACUUCAUUUUCCUUGUAUUGUUGCUUUUAUCCUAUAUGUACUGAUCUAUGGUUCAAGAAGGUGAAUAUGGUGUUUGUAAAUCAAAAUUGACCAAUAGAAAACUUCUUGUCGUUGAACCUUCAAGCUUGUGAUCAAUGUUGAUGAACAUCCUUAUAUAUUGGUGAAACGAAAUCAAAUUGGUGAAUUUGAUUUAGUUGACCAUAUUGAAAUAAAAUUAAAUUGGGUGAUCAAUGUGAUGCUAAGUAUAAGUUUAGUGGUUAUUGGUGAAUUUAACAUUUUUGUUAAUUCAUCAUAAUAUAGAAGGGGUCAGACCGGCAAAGUCCAAACAUAACUCGUGUCACUUACGAACCUAGGUAGCACAUUUCUCUCAUGCACUCUAGGUCAUAACGUGUAUCGGUGCAGCUGCCUUCUAUUUUUCUCUCCCUUCCUGAUCUUAGACAACUAAA